GGAAGUAAAAGUCGUAAUAAGGUCUCCGUAGGUGAACCUGCGGAGGGAUCAUUACAGAGUUCAUGCCCUACCGGGUAGAUCCCCCACCCUAUGUUAUUAUUACUUUGUUGCUUUGGCGGGCCGUUAGGCUCCGGCCCGACUACCGGCCCCGGCUGGUAAGCGCCCGCCAGAGGACCCAAAACCCUGAAUAUUAGUGUCGUCUGAGUACUAUAUAAUAGUUAAAACUUUCAACAACGGAUCUCUUGGUUCUG
rnacentral:misc_RNA from 1 species